GAAAGAAAGCUCCAGAAAACAUCUGUGGCUGCUGGCUUUCUCGUGCCUCCCAUUGUUGGGAGACCAUGGACGUCGGUGGAGGAGGGAAGUUCUGUCACCUGUUUGGAAGCCGAAGCUGGCAACUCUGACUGGCUUGUGACAGCUGCGAGAGACUCCAGCUUGGUGCCGGAAGAGUGAGGAGAAGGAGCUUGUGUGGUGAGCGCGGAUGACGGAGGUGACCCUGGAGGAGAGAGGUCUGUUCUUAGUGCUGUCAUGAUGAGAGGCCUUGUUUGGACCAGAGUCUCAGUGGGGUCCUUGGCAAGAUCCAGGGAGGCGCUAUGUCCACUUCCUUGGUAAAGGGAUGAAGAGAAGUCCACAUGUGCCCUGGUCCUGCGGUGUGCCUUGGGCAGAGGUGUCUGGGAUAGCUUCAGCAAGGUUGUGUUGUCAGGAGGCUGCCCCAGCACAUUCUUGAAUCUGUCUGCUGCUGAGGAAGACUUGACUUCCGAGAAAGGCCAUGUUGGUGAAAUUGGUAACAAUUUCCCAAGGGGAAAGGACUCUGAGGUCGGAGUGACAUGUAUCUGUAGAUUGUCUGUCCCUGUGAAAGAAAGCAUCCACAUGAGAUGUGGGAUCAGGAUGCGGCUGCAAUGGGCAGGCGCUGGAGACAAGGAGCAGGCAAGACAGGUCCUGCCUGGCCACGGUCCUUCCGCUCAUCACAGAACCCUCGUGAAACAACUCAAACAAGGAACGAACCUGGGCUUGCUUUCAUGUAAGAGGAGCUGUGGACCACAAAGGGGACGCCCUCUGCUGGAAGAGUGCAAAAGCAGGUCGGUAUGAGGGGUUCUCCCUCCCAGGCCUAGGCUGCAUCUCCAGUUGCUUUUCUCAGGGACUGUAUUCUGCCAACCGAAAAAGGAACAACUGGAGAAAGUCUUAUAAUAGGAAGGCUUUGAGAAUACACAACAGCCUCUCCAUGACAAAAGCUGAGCUGUGAUUGUCUUCUGAGAUGGUUUUUCCAGUUUCCCCUUGUGCAGCUUGGAGAAGGAAGGAUGGACGGUGUCUUUCACCCUAAGUAAGAACAUGUAGACAGCUUUCCUUUUGAUCCUCUGUGCUCUUGUGAUUUCCCUUUUCCUUUUUAAAAUAAAACUUUAAAUUAUUUUAACUU
rnacentral:lncRNA from 1 species